GCUGGCGUAGCUCAAUGGCAGAGCAGCGGUUUUGUAAACCGCAGGUUGCGGGUUCGAAUCCCAUCGCCAGCUCCA
rnacentral:tRNA from 1 species